rnacentral:rRNA from 1 species
ACGCACGCUGGCGGCGUGCUUAACCCCUGCCAGUCGCACGGAAAGGCCCUGCUUGCAGGGUACUCGAGUGGCGAACGGGUGAGUAACACGUGGGUGAUCUGCCCUGCACUUCGGGAUAAGCCUGGGAAACUGGGUCUAAUACCGGAUAGGAGCCAUUUUUAGUGUGAUGGUUGGAAAGUUUUUUCGGUGUAGGAUGAGCUCGCGGCCUAUCAGCUUGUUGGUGGGGUAAUGGCCUACCAAGGCGGCGACGGGUAGCCGGCCUGAGAGGGUGGACGGCCACAUUGGGACUGAGAUACGGCCCAGACUCCUACGGGAGGCAGCAGUGGGGAAUAUUGCACAAUGGGCGCAAGCCUGAUGCAGCGACGCCGCGUGGGGGAUGACGGCCUUCGGGUUGUAAACUCCUUUCGCUAGGGACGAAGCUUUUUGUGACGGUACCUAGAUAAGAAGCACCGGCUAACUACGUG